CUGACUAUGUUUACAUGCAUGCACAAAAAUAGUGCAAUGUUAAAAAAAAUCUGCAAUUCUUCAAAUGAUAUUCCCUCAAAAUGUUUCACAACAGAUUUUCUGAGAAAAUUGAGUUAGUAUGUGCUUGUUCUUAUCAACUUAGAUAACGUAAUUGUGCAU